rnacentral:rRNA from 2 species
ACAUGGUCCGGAGCUGAAAGACGGUUAUGCUGUCACUUACAGAUGGGCCCGCGGCGCAUUAGCUAGUUGGUGAGGUAACGGCUCACCAAGGCAACGAUGCGUAGCCGACCUGAGAGGGUGAUCGGCCACACUGGGACUGAGACACGGCCCAGACUCCUACGGGAGGCAGCAGUAGGGAAUCUUCCGCAAUGGACGAAAGUCUGACGGAGCAACGCCGCGUGAGUGAAGAAGGUUUUCGGAUCGUAAAACUCUGUUGUUAGGGAAGAACAAGUACGAGAGUAACUGCUCGUACCUUGACGGUACCUAACCAGAAAGCCACGGCUAACUACGUGCCAGCAGCCGCGGUAAUACGUAGGUGGCAAGCGUUGUCCGGAAUUAUUGGGCGUAAAGCGCGCGCAGGCGGUCUUUUAAGUCUGAUGUGAAAGCCCCCGGCUCAACCGGGGAGGGUCAUUGGAAACUGGAGGACUUGAGUGCAGAAGAGGAGAGCGGAAUUCCACGUGUAGCGGUGAAAUGCGUAGAGAUGUGGAGGAACACCAGUGGCGAAGGCGGCUCUCUGGUCUGUAACUGACGCUGAGGCGCGAAAGCGUGGGGAGCGAACAGGAUUAGAUACCCUGGUAGUCCACGCCGUAAACGAUGAGUGCUAAGUGUUAGAGGGUUUCCGCCCUUUAGUGCUGCAGCU